AAUAUUAGUCAAUGCUCGGAAGAGUGAACUAGCUAACUGAAAUCAUAUAAUUGUAUUAUGUGAUGUCGUAAGGGAAAAUAAUGAUAUUACCUUACUAAUAGUGUCGUCCAAAGCAGGUGCCAGAAGACUCGGUAAGGCCUGAGACGCAAACGUUAAUCACAAUAAACAGGCGUAAAGGGUUUGUAGGCUGCUUAGAAAAUAUAGAAAAUAAAUAGCGAAAUAAAACUAUAUCGGUAAAAGCUAGAAUCUAAUAGAGGAUAAUUAUAAUUAAAUAACAUUGGGUAGAGGAUUAACAACUGAAAACAUCUGAUGGAGUACUAAAGGCGUAAGCAUUUAUCCACUAAAGAUUGACGCUGAGAAACGAAAGUGAGGAUAGGAAAUUGGAUUAGAUACCCAGAUACCCCUCUCAGUCAACGAUGAAUGGUAAAAAUUAGUACAACUAGUUUUGAAGCUAACGCGUUAACCAUUCCGCCUUGUGAGUACAACUGCAAAGUUGAAAACAAAAAAAUUAGUCGGUCUCGGAGCAAACGAAGUGAAGUAUGUUAUUUAAU
rnacentral:rRNA from 1 species